AUGAUGGCCGGUCAUAGUUUAGUAAAGAUUUUAAGUGGGUUUGCUUGGACUAUGCUAUUUCUGAAUAAUAUUUUCUAUUUCAUAGGAGAUCUUGGUCCCUUAUUUAUAGUUCUAGCAUUAACCGGUCUGGAAUUAGGUGUAGCUAUAUCACAAGCUCAUGUUUCUACGAUCUCAAUUUGUACUUACUUGAAUGAUUCUACAAAUCUCCAUCAAAAUGAGUCAUUUCAUAAUUGA
rnacentral:rRNA from 1 species